ACCCGAGAAGGGAGUGGGAACAAGAGAGACCCCAGGAACAUCAGAAGAAUAUACAAAAAGGGGACUGGAAGAGUCUACAGAAGGGGAGGCACCGGUAUUUGUGUUAGAAGCCAUAGUCAAUGAACCGGCUUAAAUGAAUAAUUUUUCAAUAAACAAAGUAUAACCAAAACAGGUAUUCACACACAAUAACCAACAAACACAGUAUAACCAAAACCAAAUCAGGUAUUCACAUACAACACCAGAUGUUCAUAUACACAAAGUCAGAUAAUCACAUAUAAUACCGAAGAUAAGGACAAAGUUACCCUCCUUCUUCGCGACCGGAGAAGAUCGGCCUUCAAACAACAGAGAAACCCUAGGUAUCAAACCCUAGGUGUAAC
rnacentral:lncRNA from 1 species